rnacentral:rRNA from 1 species
UACGGAGGGUGCAAGCAUUAAUCGGAUUUAUUGGGCGUAAAGGGCGCGUAGGCGGGAAUGUAAGUCGUAUGUGAAAUCCCGGGGCUCAACCCCGGAACAGCAUGUGAAACUGCAUUUCUUGAGGGUAGGCGGAGAAAACGGAAUUCCACAAGUAGCGGUGAAAUGCGUAGAUAUGUGGAAGAACACCGGUGGCGAAGGCGGUUUUCUAGCUUAUUCCUGACGCUGAGGCGCGAAAGCAAGGGGAUCAAACAGG